rnacentral:rRNA from 1 species
CUACGGGUGGCUCCGUGAGGAAUAUUGCACAAUGGGGGGAACCCUGAUGCAGCAACGCCGCGUGGAGGAUGACGCAUUUCGGUGUGUAAACUCCUUUUAUAUGUCAAGAAAAUGACGGUAGCAUAUGAAUAAGCACCGGCUAACUCCGUGCCAGCAGCCGCGGUAAUACGGAGGGUGCAAGCGUUACUCGGAAUCACUGGGCGUAAAGGACGCGUAGGCGGGCUUGUAAGUCAGGUGUGGAAUCCUACAGCUUAACUGUAGAACUGCACUUGAAACUACGAGCCUAGAGUAUGGGAGGGGCAGAUGGAAUUAGUGGUGUAGGGGUAAAAUCCGUAGAUAUCACUAGGAAUACCUAAAGCGAAGGCGAUCUGCUGGAACAUAACUGACGCUAAGGCGUGAAAGCGUGGGGAGCAAACAGGAUUAGAUACCCGCGUAGUC